AAGGGAGGCAAUGCGGGUGCUUACCAUGCAAGUCGUACGAGAAAGCCGAAUUUCGGUUUGGCGAGUAAAGUGGCGCACGGGUGAGUAACACGUAGGUGAUCUGCCCUUGUGUUCGGGAUAACAGAGCGAAAGUUCUGCUAAUACCGGAUACGAUCUCUCUUUCGGGGGAGAAGAAAGUCAGCCGCUCGAAGAAGCUGGCGCACGAGGAGGGGCCUGCGUCCUAUCAGCUAGUUGGUAGGGUAACGGCCUACCAAGGCGACGACGGGUAGCUGGUCUGAGAGGAUGAUCAGCCACACUGGCACUGGAACACGGGCCAGACUCCUACGGGAGGCAGCAGUGAGGAAUUUUGCGCAAUGGGAGCAAUCCUGACGCAGCAACGCCGCGUGGGUGAUGAAGGCCUUCGGGUCGUAAAGCCCUGUCAGGUGGGAAGAAUGUCCUGGGGAUGAAUAAGCUCUGGGAGUGACGGUACCACCAGAGGAAGCACCGGCUAACUCCGUGCCAGCAGCCGCGGUAAUACGGAGGGUGCGAGCGUUAUUCGGAAUUACUGGGCGUAAAGCGCGUGUAGGCGGGAAGGCAAGUCUGAUGUGAAAGCCCCGGGCUUAACCUGGGAAGUGCAUUGGAAACUGCAUUUCUUGAGUGCUGGAGAGGAAGGGGGAAUUCCCGGUGUAGAGGUGAAAUUCGUAGAGAUCGGGAGGAAUACCAGUGGCGAAGGCGCCCUUCUGGACGGCAACUGACGCUGAGACGCGAAAGCGUGGGGAGCAAACAGGAUUAGAUACCCUGGUAGUCCACGCUGUAAACGAUGAUCACUAGGUGUAGCGGGUACUCAUUCCUGCUGUGCCGCAGCUAACGCGUUAAGUGAUCCGCCUGGGGAUUACGGUCGCAAGACUAAAACUCAAAGGAAUUGACGGGGGCCCGCACAAGCGGUGGAGUAUGUGGUUUAAUUCGACGCAACGCGAAGAACCUUACCUGGGCUUGACAUCCCCGGACUGCGCUGGAAACAGGUGAGUUCCCUUUCGGGGACCGGGGAGAACAGUGCUGCAUGCUGUCGUCAGCUCGCGUCGUGAGAAUGUGGGUAAGUCCGCACGUAGCGCACCCUUGCCUAGUUGCCAUCAUGAGUUGGCACCUCUAGGGACUGCCGGUUGAAACCCGAAGAAGUGGGGAUGACGUCC
rnacentral:rRNA from 1 species